rnacentral:snRNA from 1 species
AUCGCUUCUCGGCCUUUUGGCUAAGAUCAAGUGUAGUAUCUGUUCUUAUCAAUUUAAUAUCUGAUAUGUCCUCUAUUUGAGGACUCUAUAUUAAAUGGAUUCUUGGGACUUUAAAAAAAAGAAAGUAUACUGCUAAGCCCUUGACAAAGACCACUAAUGGUUGGAGGAAGAAGC